UUGGUCUACGUAGCCACACACUGUAGCACAUCACCGGCCGAGUAAACCGGGUAAACAGGCUACACUUGAAUUCGGUCUUAAAUAUGUAAAACGAUAUUAUCCUGCACCAUGAACAGUGGAACCCCACGUUCAUAAAGCGAGUGCAUGCUUUAAGUUAAAAGUAAAACGAAGCAGACUUACCUGUUUUGAAGAAUCCAUCUUGAGAUAGCCGAGGACAGCUGAAGACAUGAAAGGGGAGAGAGAGGGGGAACAACAUGCAGCAAAGGGCCGCAGGCCGGAGUCGAACCCGCGGCCGCUGCGUUGAGGGGCAAACCUCCACACAUGGGCGCCUGCUCCAACAGUGACCAGAGAGCAGACACAGACCGGUUCACGGUGGCUGCGGACGUUUGAAAUUCAGAUCAUCUGUUCUCUGUCAUCAGAGGGCAAGAGGUGCAUGGACGGCAUCCUUGGUGGUUCCAAUUUCCAGCCCAUUCCCCAAUUUUCAACCCCAAUGACAGACAACACACGCUUCAAUGGCUGUUCAGCUAAAGGAGGGAAUUGAAGCGGACCGUAAAAUGAUGGACUGCUGGUUUCCUGCCGUAUUGAUGCCAGCUGGCACCGCACAGUUAUGGUUUAACAUACAUUUCAUAAUGUAUUGAUACAUAUAUAUUAUCACAUUUACAUUGUUUUGGAAUUUGGUGUA